rnacentral:lncRNA from 1 species
UGGAUAACGGGGAAUUUUCCUUAUUGGCUGGAGCCAUUCUUUACAUAUUUUUUUGUUGUUACAAAUUCCAUAUAAUUCCAUUAUGAUUUCCAUUAUGUUCACAUCACUCAGAUGCCGCGUUUCGCAUGCUGCCACUGCCACUGCCACAGCUAGCAAUUAAUCUGUUCAAUAUGUGUUGCGAAAAAAUGGAUGGACAACAGUUAAAACUGUAAACCAGCAUCAAACCGAGGCGAUAGCAAAACCAGCCACCGCAGCCAUUUCAUUGAGUGACCAGAUAGCUGACUGGUCGCUGGGUCACGUCUGCUCCUGCUCUGGUCUGCAGCACGCUUCAUGCUCCGCGGUCUGAACACCA